CGAAACACCAACCAUCCGCCAUUACCGACCCGACCACUUGCCACUUGUUGUAGGCAUUUUGUAGCGUUCGUCAGCCACCUUCGUAGCGUAGACGCACGUCACGUCAUCAAAAUGAAAAAAAAUCCAAUAGACCAACUCAAUAGAUGGCGCUUUACAAAAAAAUCAUAAUGCCGCAGUCCGAAGAACUUGGCGUAUUCAGCAUACCUACAUUACUGUUUUUCAUUGUGCUUAAUAAAAACACUCAUACAAUCUACGCAAUGUUCAGUUCGGCGAGAUGUUUCGCUAUAAUGUAUAGCCGGCAUAAUAAACAAAAUUAAGUGACAUGAUCGUGUUUCAAUAUGUGUAUGCCCAUGGUUUAAAAUCUAUUUUUAUCUAGUUUUCUUAUGAAUAUUUAUAUAUUUUUAUUAAGAAAAUAGGGUUGGCGCCUGAGCAAAAAAUUAAAUGUUUAGAUAGACCGUCAUGUAUAUUAAACAACCCUACUUCCUGCAUUUCCUGUCACGCUGCCUUCCGCUUCCGCUGUUAAAUUGCUACAAAAAUUCAAAAAGUUUGGUUGAAGUUUUACUGCUGUACUUAGUAAUUAAUUUUCGUAUUGCAGGAAGAAUAUUUCACUAUUGCAACACUUGCUUACUAGCACUAUACUACUACUUUUGUGUAAUACCGUAAAUACAAGAUCAGUUAUCA